UGGAGCAGUUAUUGGCUUACAAGAUUUUAGAGUAGCUUUUCAGUCUUCAGUAAACCUUUUAGUAGGCUUUUGGUAUCUCAUUGGCUGAAUAUGUACCUUAUCUUUUCUAGAUGAAGAUAUCAUCCAUUUUUGGAAAAGAACCUUAAUUCUAAACUCUUGAUAUUUAGGGUUAAUAUUUUUCAAACCUUUAGGAUAAUACUUUAUAAACUAGUCAAAGA
rnacentral:lncRNA from 1 species